rnacentral:rRNA from 1 species
GUAGGGGGCAAGCGUUGUCCGGAAUUAUUGGGCGUAAAGCGCGCGCAGGCGGCUAUUUAAGUCUGGUGUCUAAACCUUGGGCUCAACCUGAGGUCGCACUGGAAACUGGGUGGCUUGAGUACAGAAGAGGAAAGUGGAAUUCCACGUGUAGCGGUGAAAUGCGUAGAGAUGUGGAGGAACACCAGUGGCGAAGGCGACUUUCUGGGCUGUAACUGACGCUGAGGCGCGAAAGCGUGGGGAGCAAACAGGGAUUAGAUACCCUGGUAGUCCACGCCGUAAACGAUGAGUGCUAGGUGUUAGGGGUUUCGAUACCCUUGGUGCCCGAAGUUAACACAGUAAGCACUCCGCCUGGGGGAGUACGGUCGCAAGACUG